rnacentral:rRNA from 1 species
UGGGGAAUCUUGGACAAUGGGCGCAAGCCUGAUCCAGCCAUGCCGCGUGAGUGAAGAAGGCCUUCGGGUUGUAAAGCUCUUUUACCAGGGACGAUAAUGACGGUACCUGGAGAAUAAGCCCCGGCAAACUUCGUGCCAGCAGCCGCGGUAAUACGAAGGGGGCUAGCGUUGUUCGGAAUUACUGGGCGUAAAGCGCACGUAGGCGGAUUGUUAAGUCAGAGGUGAAAUCCCGGAGCUCAACUUCGGAACUGCCUUUGAUACUGGCAAUCUAGAGUCCGGAAGAGGUUAGUGGAAUUCCCAGUGUAGAGGUGAAAUUCGUAGAUAUUCGCAGGAACACCAGUGGCGAAGGCGACUUGCUGGACUUAUGGUGACGCUGAGACGCGAAAGCGUGGGGAGCAAACAGGAUUAGAUACCCUAGUAGUCCCUGAGCGGGCUGGCAAGGCGCAU